GAUGAACGCUAGCUACAGGCUUAACACAUGCAAGUCGAGGGGAAACGACAUCGAAAGCUUGCUUUUGAUGGGCGUCGACCGGCGCACGGGUGAGUAACGCGUAUCCAACCUGCCCAUCACUUGGGAAUAACCUUGCGAAAGUAAGACUAAAACCCAAUGAUAUCCCACGAAGGCAUCGGAAUGGGAUUAAAGAUUUAUCGGUGAUGGAUGGGGAUGCGUCUGAUUAGCUUGUUGGCGGGGUAACGGCCCACCAAGGCAACGAUCAGUAGGGGUUCUGAGAGGAAGGUCCCCCACAUUGGAACUGAGACACGGUCCAAACUCCUACGGGAGGCAGCAGUGAGGAAUAUUGGUCAAUGGGCGAGAGCCUGAACCAGCCAAGUAGCGUGCAGGAAGACGGCCCUAUGGGUUAUAAACUGCUUUUAUAAGGGAAUAAAGUGGGUCACGUGUGACUUUUUGCAUGUACCUUAUGAAUAAGGACCGGCUAAUUCCGUG
rnacentral:rRNA from 1 species